ACGCUCGACACCUACGGAAGGCAGCAGUCGGGAAUAUUGCGCAAUGGAGGAAACUCUGACGCAGUGACGCCGCGUAUAGGAAGAAGGUUUUCGGAUUGUAAACUAUUGUCGUUAGGGAAGAAAAAAGACAGUACCUAAGGAGGAAGCUCCGGCUAACUACGUGCCAACAGCCGCGGUAAUCUGAGCGGGCUGGCAAGGC
rnacentral:rRNA from 1 species